GGCCAGUGUGCCAGGAGGAGGCUGAUUCUCAGGUGGUUCCUUUGACAUGGUAGCACCUUAGAGGGGUCCCAAGUGUCACUUAAUGCCCCCUUAUGACAGCUAAUGGUCUGGGUUGGAAGGACAGGAACCCAGCCCCUCUAGCUGUUGGAGACAACGUGAAGAGUCCCAGGCAGGCCCCAGAAUGACCACAGCGCAGCUUCUGGACCUUCUCGGUCCCAGAGUCUUCUUUGAACCAACCAGGCACGGACCCCCUGGGCUGUGCUGCCCAGUGCCUCUGAGUGAGGCAAGCAGGGGUACAGGAGGGGAACCCCACUUCCUGAGUGGCCCUCGAACUCCCGACAGCUAUGAAAAGGCACAAGAGGCUGGGGCAGCUGGAGUGUGUCCUGAAGCAGGUGUCACUGGGCUGGGAAUGUAACUUGGGGUAAGGGCACUUGCCUAGCACCUUGUGACGCUGUAGGUUUGUCCCCAAUACUGCAAAAGCAAAGCAAGGCCACAGAGCAGGUGAUGGGAAGGCGGAAGACAGGAAGUUUGACUGUCACUGUACCCACAGACUGGAGCCUGUCACCCAUGACAGGUGCUGACCACUGGAGCAGGCCAAGCUACGGGGUGAGGGAGGAAGUUCAGGGACGCUGCUCAGGCUGCUGCACUCGCGCAGGCAGGGUCAGCACUGAGCUCCACGACACGGGGAGCCUCCUGAGCAUCAGAGGAAGGCCACUGGAUGCUGGGCAGUGCCAUUAGCACCCACAGACUGGGGCCUGUCACCCAUGACAGGAAGGCCACUGGAUAAGAAUGGGGGGAUCCUCUGGCCUCCAUUGUCUUCCUUCAUCUCUUUCCUGGGCCCUCCCUGUGUCCCUUUUCCUGCUCAUUCUCAGUCCUGGGUGGCAGUAGCAAGGUCCUCUUGGGUGGGACAAAUGAGUCCUGCACAUUUUUAAGUAUUGUACAAAUUUUAAUUUCUAAACAAGUCAGUAUCAGCCUCCAUAACCCACUGAACCCAAAAGCGUCUGUAGCCCUUUCUUAUUAUGAAAGUGGAAAAGGUUUUGGAAGCCUAAGAGGGAGUGGACCACGGGGGGUUAUCCCCAGGCGUGAAUGGGCCAUUUCUUGCUCUGACCUCACAAGGAGCCGUUGAGGGCAUUUCAAACACUGAGUACAGCAGAGGCUGGCUGCGGCUGGGUUUUUGUCCCUAAGUGCAGGAAGCAUUUGGUGGCCACCUGUCAGACUCUUAGAUAGUUAGUGCGUUUAGUGGUUGGUGGUUGUGGUCUUUGGAUGUUGGUUUUUUGAUUUGGGGUUUUUAUUUUGCUUGGUUCUGGGUUUUGUUAUUUUUUUUUUCAGCUAGCAUCCUUAGCUGAGGAUGUGCAGUAAGAGUAGUCAGAGCAAUGUAGCUGUAGGCACCACUCCCGCAAGGAGACCACCUACACGGACCAUCGUCGGGUCCUGAGGAUCACCUGGCAGGGUGGUUUCGCCCCGACUGAAUUAGCCUGCUGUCUCCUCCCUGGGACAGAGGUGGUGGUGAAAGUCCUAUGGAGCGGAACAUCCCCGUCCUAUCUGAACUGGAUACGAUGAUGGCCACGGAACACCAAAAUGUGAUCCAGCUCUUUCAGGGCAUUGAGACCAUUGAAAAUAUCUACAUCGUCAUGGAGUAUGCAGGUGGGGGACAGCGACAGCACCCCAUCCCAGAGCCCAGUGGCAUGCAGAAAGAAAGAGGAGGCCUGGAGACUGUUGGGGCAGAUUGUGUCAUGUGCUACGGCCACAAGAAGGGAAUCACGAACCUAGACCUGAAGGCAGGGUCAUCCUGGUAGAUGCCAGAGGCAACAUCAAACUCAUCAACUUUGGCCUGAGCACCAGGUUCGUGGUGGGGCAGAAGCUGAACGAGAUCUGGGGUGCUCUCCUGUACGUUGCCCCCGAAGUCAUCCACUGGAAUGAAUAUGAGGGCAGCCACCCCCACCCAUGGGCAUCUGGAGCUUGGAUGUCAUUCUAUAUUUUAUGGUCACAAGGGGACGCCCAUUUGUGGUGACCACUGCUAAGCAGCUAAAGAAGCAGAUGGUGCAGUCCAGAUACUACCUUCCCCCACACAUUUCCGAGACACACAGAACCUCGUCAAUCAAACACUAAUGGUGGACUCCACACAGAGGCCCGCAGUAGAGCAGAUAACGGGGCACCUGGGUGAGGAAUAUUCACCCAAUCAUUCUAGAGAGCCACUCCCCAAACACUCAGACCCCGUAAUUAUGAAAACCAUGCUUGACAUGGGUUUCGAUUAUGACCCCUAUAAUUCCUGGGUUUCCCUGGCAAAUAGGAAAUAGGAAAAGGUGAUAGCUAUGUAUCUGAUACUCCAGCGCCAGAUAACCCGGGGAGCCGGCUGCAAGUUCCAGAUGAAGUGAGUCGGGGGAUCAGGCCAGGCCCAGUGGAUCUUUCCAAUGUCUGCCCAAAGAAGAGUACCAGUGAACCAGCCCUUCCCACCUCCCCUUGCCCUGUGAGCACAGCUACUGGGGAAGCCGAGGGCAGAAGGGCGGUGGAAGUGCCAGUUUGCCUACCAUUCAUCUCUGCUUCCUGUGUGCGAGGACCCCUCCUCCCAGCAGGACCCUGUAGGUGAGUCACAGCAAAAGGCAGCACAGCCUCCCAAGGUACCUCCACAGGGCAAUCCCAUGACAACAGCAAGGACUGGAAAGGAGUCUCUAGGAGGACUGCCACAUCCAUUCAACAACUGUGGUGUCGCGUGCCAUGCUUUUUGCAGGCCGGCAUUCAGAAAAAGAAGUGGUUCCAAUGAAAACGCAGAGCUGAGGCCGACAACACCAGUGGGCAUCCAGAAGACCCUGAGCUCUGUGGCUCCUGACAUCAGGGUACGGGUAUCGCUCGGGCAUGGCCUCAAACAGCUGCAGGGGCCAGGUUGUGCCAACGGGCUCGGGCUUCUCGGCACAGAUUCUAGCCAGGAGCGCAUUUGGAUCCACCAGGAGUCUCCUCCGCCCCCUCCUGCAAGAGACAUCAGACACUCCUUUCCCUGGGACACUUCCCCUGUCCUGCUCUCCUCUGUCCUUUCUCCCAUGCUUCUGGGAUAGCAGAAAUGGUUCUUAAUACAUUUCUGUUCCUCACAAAUUGUGUAAUAAAAUUGAUGUUACAGCGUCUGGAGUUGUGCCUCAGCGGUAGAGCGCUUGCCUAGCAUGCAUGAGGCACUGGGUUCCAUCCCUGGCACCACUAAAAAAAUAAAAACAAAUAAAAUAAAGGUACUGUGUUCAUCUACAACUAAAAUAAAUAAAUAACUAAAUAAAGAGAAGGGGAGACCUCAGGGCAAGAGCAGGAGCCCACUGCCAUCUUUCCUCCCCAAGGCCUGGACCACUGUGCCUCCCUCUCCUGUUCAUGGUAGACACUCACUUACCUUUAGCCAGUGUAGACAGGGACUCAUUUUCCUUGAGCCAUUGUAGAAGGAGACUCACUCCCUCUGGCCUAGUGUGGAUGGAGGUGCUUGCUCCCUUUGGGCCAGUGUAGACUUGAUUGAUUGAGCUGGUCGCUUUGGCUAGGAGUCCCUUUCCUGGUCUUCAGGCCCCUUCCUGAGUUCUGUGGACAGGGGGAGUGGCAGCUGCUAGAGAAGACACGUCUGGCAAGGCACUGAAGACCCCAAAGUGUUCUGUGGCGUCCUGAGUCUGCACGUUUGGAAUGGGCUUCCGCUGAGCAUUCAGGAGAGCUUUUAACCUGGGGCCAAAAAUAGUAAGUGGAACAGGAUUUAGUUGGCUCCUUCUCAGGUUUGGACAGCCUCCGGCACAGGGUCUUAAAUGGGGGAGGGGGACAGAGCGGCCAAGUGUUUCCCCAGGGAAUCCUUGCCUGUGGCCGGCAGCCCUAACAGGUCCUGGGCCCAGGGAUCCUGGUGCUGUUAGGCUCCUGUCAUCCCACAAUGACUGUCACCAGUAAGUGCCAGGGUUCCACCCUGGCAACUCCACUUAAAACUGAAGUUGAAAAUACAACUGGCAACUAAUCUUCUGGAGAAAUGGCUCAACUCUAAUAAUCAUCAGGUAGAUGUGAAUCUAGUCCCAGCCACAAUCCCUUUUUUUUAAUAUUUUUUAAUUGUAGAUGGACACAAUAUCUUUAUUUAUGUGGUGCUGAGGAUCGAACCCAGUGCCUCACUGGUAUGAGGCGGGCGCUGUACCACCAAGCCACGGCCCCAGCUCCCAGCCACAGUUUCUUAGUACCCUGACAGCCUGCAGCUCACGGUGGAGCUCCGUGGAGUUCACUACCACCCGCCAAAGUAAAGGGUGAGAACUAAAAGAGCUACAGGAUGUGAGCAUUUUUCAGAGCCAUAAAAUGAGAACAGAUGUUCAAAAUGAGAUCCCCGGUGCUGCCAGAGGGACAGCGAGAGGCUGCCGCUUGUGCAUGGGGGCAGUACUGGGAGCCUUUCGUGUCUUGUGAUUCAGAGAGCAAUCAGAUAUUUUAUACAACAAUGUCCAUCAUAGCAUGAUAAUAGCAAAAGAAAUCAGAAAUAACUAAAUGCGGGGGGAGGGUGGAUGAUGGGAAAGGCAGCGGAGCACAACAGACACUAGUAUGGCAAUUUGUAAAUCAAUGGAUGUGUAACUGAUGUGAAUCUGCAAUCUGUG
rnacentral:lncRNA from 1 species